GGCGGCUGCUAUACAUGCAGUCGAGCGACAGAUAAGGAGCUUGCUCCUUUGACGUUAGCGGCGGACGGGUGAGUAACACGUGGGUAACCUACCUAUAAGACUGGAAUAACUCCGGGAAACCGGGGCUAAUGCCGGAUAACAUUUAGAACCGCAUGGUUCUAAAGUGAAAGAUGGUUUUGCUAUCACUUAUAGAUGGACCCGCGCCGUAUUAGCUAGUUGGUAAGGUAACGGCUUACCAAGGCAACGAUACGUAGCCGACCUGAGAGGGUGAUCGGCCACACUGGAACUGAGACACGGUCCAGACUCCUACGGGAGGCAGCAGUAGGGAAUCUUCCGCAAUGGGCGAAAGCCUGACGGAGCAACGCCGCGUGAGUGAUGAAGGUCUUCGGAUCGUAAAACUCUGUUAUUAGGGAAGAACAAAUGUGUAAGUAACUAUGCACGUCUUGACGGUACCUAAUCAGAAAGCCACGGCUAACUACGUGCCAGCAGCCGCGGUAAUACGUAGGUGGCAAGCGUUAUCCGGAAUUAUUGGGCGUAAAGCGCGCGUAGGCGGUUUCUUAAGUCUGAUGUGAAAACCCACGGCUCAACCGUGGAGGGUCAUUGGAAACUGGGAAACUUGAGUGC
rnacentral:rRNA from 1 species